rnacentral:rRNA from 1 species
AACGCCAUGUCUAGUAUAAGCAUUAUACCGCGAAACUGCGAAUGGCUCAUUAUAUAAGUUAUCGUUUAUUUGAUAGUACCUUACUACUUGGAUAACCGUGGUAAUUCUAGAGCUAAUACAUGCUAAAAAUCCCGACUUCGGAAGGGAUGUAUUUAUUAGAUUAAAAACCAAUGCCCUUCGGGGCUCACUGGUGAUUCAUGAUAACUCCUCGAAUCGCAUGGCCUUGUGCCGGCGAUGGUUCAUUCAAAUUUCUUCCCUAUCAACUUUCGAUGUUUGGGUAUUGGCCAAACAUGGUUGCAACGGGUAACGGAGGGUUAGGGCUCGACCCCGGAGAAGGAGCCUGAGAAACGGCUACUACAUCCAAGGAAGGCAGCAGGCGCGCAAAUUACCCAAUCCCGACACGGGGAGGUAGUGACAAUAAAUACUGAUACAGGGCUCUUUUGGGUCUUGUAAUUGGAAUGAGUACAAUUUAAAUCCCUUAACGAGGAACAAUUGGAGGGCAAGUCUGGUGCCAGCAGCCGCGGUAAUUCCAGCUCCAAUAGCGUAUAUUAAAGUUGUUGUGGUUAAAAAGCUCGUAGUUGAACCUUGGGCCUGGCUGGCCGGUCCGCCUCACCGCGUGUACUGGUCCGGCCGGGCCUUUCCCUCUGUGGAACCCCAUGCCCUUCACUGGGUGUGGCGGGGAAACAGGACUUUUACUGUGAAAAAAUUAGAGUGCUCCAGGCAGGCCUAUGCUCGAAUACAUUAGCAUGGAAUAAUAGAAUAGGACGUGUGGUUCUAUUUUGUUGGUUUCUAGGACCGCCGUAAUGAUUAAUAGGGACAGUCGGGGGCAUCAGUAUUCAAUUGUCAGAGGUGAAAUUCUUGGAUUUAUUGAAGACUAACUACUGCGAAAGCAUUUGCCAAGGAUGUUUUCAUUAAUCAGGAACGAAAGUUAGGGGAUCGAAGACGAUCAGAUACCGUCGUAGUCUUAACCAUAAACUAUGCCGACUAGGGAUCGGACGGUGUUAUUUUUUGACCCGUUCGGCACCUUACGAGAAAUCAAAGUGCUUGGGCUCCAGGGGGAGUAUGGUCGCAAGGCUGAAACUUAAAGAAAUUGACGGAAGGGCACCACCAGGGGUGGAGCCUGCGGCUUAAUUUGACUCAACACGGGGAAACUCACCAGGUCCCGAACCCAGGAGGAUUGACGAAUGGAAAGCUCUUUCUUGAUUUUGUGGGGGGGGGGGGCAGGCCCGUUCUUAUUUGUGGGGAGGGAUUUGUCUGGCUUAAUUUGCAAUAACAAAAGAACCUUAACCUGGUUAAAAAACCCGCAUUGGUUUUGGGAAAACCCGGGCUUUUUUAAAGGAAAUACGGGCUCACCCCCAAGGAAAUUUUGAGGAAUUAAAAGGUUGGGUAGCCCCCUAAAAAUUCUUGGGGGCCCCCCCGCCCCCCCUCG